CCUGUGGCUCCAUGUGGGUUAGUUUAUUCCUGGCGUCAGCGUUUCGCGGUUGCCGUUGUUUUUCGCCGGCGCUCAACGUGAUGUAAUCCUCACGCGUUCUCGCGCGGAUGUGUGUGUGCGUUUUUUGGUUUUUUGCGGGGUGUUUUGUUUGAGCCGUUGUGACUGUGUAACUGUGUUGUUGUCGUAUGUGUGAUUGGAUUAACGCGCCUUCCAUAAGGAGACACUUUUCCCUCGAGUGCGAAGGGCUGAAAAAUGCCAAUAGUGCUCUGUGGUUGGAUCAGAGUACUUAGCCUCAGCGAUCGCGAUGAAGACCAAGAAGUCAACCGUUGUUCCAGUCCGAGCGGUGAGUUUCAAGUUUUUCGCAUCCACCAAUUCAUUUUCUGUCUUACUAUCUCAACCCUGGAAUUAAAUGCGUAAGUCAGUUUCGUUCUAAUCUGAUGAUUUUCCAAGAAUUUCUAUUUUCGAGUUCGUCAUUUUUUCAAACAAGAUAUUCAA